GGGUAAAGAAAGUAUUAGGCCCAGAGAGGAGGAAGCGGGAGCGUGCAGAGGGCAAAGAGGGACCCAGAUUCAAAUCCCUGCUCAGGAGUGAAAUUCAGGUGGUGUCCUGGGCCCAGUGACAGUGUCGUGGUGAAGACAAAAGGAGGGGGACAAAUCAUGGCCCUUGAGAGCUGCUCCCUACGAAACGUGCAUCGUGGUGAAAGCUGUGGGAGUCCCAGAGCUGGCCUAGUUUACUCCUCCCUCUCAGGCAGCGCC